rnacentral:rRNA from 1 species
AGAGUUUGAUCCUGGCUCAGGAUGAACGCUGGCGGUGUGCCUAAUACAUGCAAGUCGAACGAGUUCUUCGGAACGAGUGGCGGACGGGUGAGUAACACGUUGGUACCUGCCCCGAAGUGGGGAAUAACUGGCCGAAAGGUCGGCUAAUACCGCAUAAUACCGCAAGGUUAAAGUAGCAAUACGCUUCGGGAGGGGCCUGCGUCCCAUUAGCUUGUUGGUGGUGUAAUGGACCACCAAGGCGACGAUGGGUAGCUGGAUCGAGAGGUUGACCAGCCACACUGGGACUGAGAUACGGCCCAGACUCCUACGGGAGGCAGCAGUAAGGAAUCUUCCACAAUGGACGAAAGUCUGAUGGAGCAACACCGCGUGCAGGAUGACGGCCUUCGGGUUGUAAACUGCUUUUAUAUGGGAAGAUUAUGACGGUACCAUAUGAAUAAGCACCGGCUAACUACGUGCCAGCAGCCGCGGUAAUACGUAGGGUGCAAGCGUUAUCCGGAAUCACUGGGCGUAAAGCGUGCGUAGGCGGGAAUUUAAGUGAGAUGUUAAAUCGUGUGGCUCAACCAUAUCGAUGCAUCUCAUACUGGGUUCCUAGAGGAUGGCAGAGGCAAGUGGAAUUGGUAGUGUAGCAGUGAAAUGCGUAGAUAUUACCAGGAACACCAAUGGCGAAGGCGCUUGCUGGGCCACCCCUGACGCUGAGGUACGAAAGCGUGGGGAGCGAACAGGAUUAGAUACCCCCGUAGUCC